rnacentral:rRNA from 1 species
UACGUAGGGCCCGAGCAUUAUCCGGAAUUAUUGGGCGUAAAGAGCGUGUAGGCGGCCCGGUAAGUCCGCUGUGAAAGUCGGGGGCUCAACCCUGGGAUGCCGGUCGAUACUGCCGGACUAGAGUUCGGAAGAGGCGAGUGGAAUUCCCGGUGUAGCGGUGAAAUGCGCAGAUAUCGGGAGGAACACCUAUGGCGAAGGCAGCUCGCUGGGACGUUACUGACGCUGAGACGCGAAAGCGUGGGGAGCAAACAGG